UACGUAGGGUGCAAGCGUUGUCCGGAAUUAUUGGGCGUAAAGAGCUCGUAGGCGGUCUGUCGCGUCUGCUGUGAAAACCUGGGGCUUAACCCCGGGCCUGCAGUGGGUACGGGCAGACUAGAGUGUGGUAGGGGAGACUGGAAUUCCUGGUGUAGCGGUGAAAUGCGCAGAUAUCAGGAGGAACACCGGUGGCGAAGGCGGGUCUCUGGGCCAUAACUGACGCUGAGGUGCGAAAGCGUGGGGAGCAAACAGG
rnacentral:rRNA from 1 species